AUGAAAAUCAGUGGUUGGAAGGAAAACUUACUUUCUACUGGUGGAAAGGAGAUACUUGUCAAAUCUGUUGUCGAAGACAUACCCACCUUUGCAAUGUCGGUCUUUAAAAAUCCUAAAAAAAUUAAAGAAAUUAUUAAUGCGAUGGCACAUUUCUAGUGGGGAGACGAGGUGAACCAGAGGAGGAUGCAUUUGAUGGCUUUGUAGAAAAUGUAUGUUCCUAAGAACCAAGGGCAGAUGGGUUUUCGUGAUAUCCACUAUUUCAAUUUGGCAAUGCUAGCCAAACAGGCUUGAUGUCUUGUUGAGAAUCCUUAA
rnacentral:rRNA from 1 species